rnacentral:misc_RNA from 1 species
CCCUUCUAUCACAGGGCCAAGAGAGAACCCUAUCCGAUUAUCAGAAACUAUUUGCCAAACAUGGCUUCGUUAAUGUGCAAUUUACACACAUAGAUGGUCUUAACUAUUAUGAUGUCAUGCUCCUAAAGAAGCCAUUUUAGGUUCUCGAAACAUCAUUGACCACAAGUAUAGAGACUUCUAAUUCAAUCAGACAUUUUUCAGCAGAUCUGCUCUUUGUGCUGUUUGACAUGAUGGUACAGGGAUGAAAUUCAUGAAUCAUCUCUUGCGAUUUGCGGGCCCAGUAGUUCUUGCUAAUCACAGCAGGUUGAUGAGGGUUAUUUAAGAGAAAGACAAAGAGACCUGUUUAACUAAAAAUCUUCAAUCUUACAAGAUGGCGUCCGUAUUAUUGUGUCAAUGACAUUUUAUUUGAAACUUCUAAACUUUUUUAUUCUUGCAUAUUUUUGCACUUUUGUUUCAUUGUAUGUGUAGGGCAGGUAUUUUGUGACAUUGCAGGGCCUGAAAUGUAAUAUGUUGUAAACACAGUCACAGAUCUCCAGUCACGGCUAUGUAACUUACAAAGUAAUUAUUACAAAAGGUUUAAUCUGAACACCAGCAAAUCACGCACCCUAGGGUUUGGGUUUCCAACAAUCAGGUGUAGAAGCAUUUAAAGACACGUUUUCUGACCCUUAAAAAACCCCGAAAUAACGUUUGAAUUUUUACGAUGUUUUAUUUUUUUCUAUAGUCAUCCAUUGGAUGUGGUAAAAAUUUAGUAGGCUACAUUUUCUAAAUAGAGGACACAACCCAACCGGGCGAUCGAAGUCAGCUGUUUGAAUCUCAUUACCAUAAAAUCAAAAUAUUUUGUUGUUUUAGCAGCAGAUUGUAUUCUGAACUCAGUAUUUGAAAAGCAAUGUGUUUCCCUCAAAUGGCAACAAUUUGUGUGUUUCAAUUUCAUUAUCAUAAUGUUUUAUUUUGAAUAUUGUGAUAUUGUCAGUGUUAUGUAUAUUUUUGAUCUAUAUGAUGGCGUUUUGUACUGUAAAUAAUUAUAUUCCAUGGACGCCAUGAAAGCAUGUUAGAUCGGAGGAUGUAAAUAUGAAUUCCUUCAACUUGAUUUUGUCAUACUCAUUAUCAUAUAACCUCUGUUAAAUGUUAUAUGGACCAAUUGUAUCUUUGAUUCUAACGUAGUUUACUGUUUUGUUAAUUAUUUAUAUGACUACUUGAAUUGUUUUAAAUUUAUUGUUAUUAUUAUUUAAUAAUAAACUGACCUAUAUCCUGAUAGAAAU